GACGAACGCUGGCGGCGUGCUUAACACAUGCAAGUCGAACGAAGUGGCGAACGGGUGAGUAAUACGUGAGUAACCUGCCCUCCUUUUUGGGAUAAGCCUUGGAAACGGGGUCUAAUACCGAAUAAAGGGGGAUUGGGUCGGGGACUAUCAGCUUGUGGGUGGGGUGAUGGACUACCAAGGCGGUGACGGGUAGCCGGCCUGAGAGGGUGACCGGCGACAUUGGGAACGGGACACGCCCCAGACGGCGACGGGAGGCAGCAGUGGGGGAGAUUGGACGAUGGGCGAAAGCCGGCAGCCGCGACGUCGCGGGGGGGAUGUAGGCUUUCGGGAUGUAAACCUCUUUGGCUAUCGAACCGGUAGGUGCAGAAGAAGCGCCGGCUAACUACGUGCCAGCAGCCGCGGUAAUUC
rnacentral:rRNA from 1 species